UUCAGCCACAGUGUCUCAUCGCGUACACGCGCCUUUCUCUAGUAAAGAUGGAGGAUAGAUGGUGGAUUUGGCUCUCACGUGGACCAGAACUUCGAGAUAUAUCCCCUGCGACAAAACCGAGAUAUGGCCAAGGCUCUUGGGAAUGACAGAGGUGGAAAAUAAAAGGGGCCUGUGGAAUCGAGUGGUAGGAGAGGUAGAGAGGGACAGAGAGAGACAGAGGAAUGGAUUGGAGAAAAAGAAAGAGAAGGAGAGAGAGCACUAGAACAUGGAACUCUCUCACUCAUCUUCUCGCUCUCUCUCUUUCAUACACACACAAAAACACAAAAAAGA